AUUGAACGCUGGCGGCAUGCCUUACACAUGCAAGUCGAACGGCAGCACGGGGGCAACCCUGGUGGCGAGUGGCGAACGGGUGAGUAAUGCAUCGGAACGUGCCCAGUAGUGGGGGAUAACCCGGCGAAAGCCGGGCUAAUACCGCAUACAACCUAAGGGUGAAAGCGGGGGACCGUAAGGCCUCGCGCUAUUGGAGCGGCCGAUGUCUGAUUAGCUAGUUGGCGGGGUAAAGGCCCACCAAGGCGACGAUCAGUAGCUGGUCUGAGAGGACGACCAGCCACACUGGGACUGAGACACGGCCCAGACUCCUACGGGAGGCAGCAGUGGGGAAUCUUGGACAAUGGGGGCAACCCUGAUCCAGCCAUGCCGCGUGAGUGAAGAAGGCCUUCGGGUUGUAAAGCUCUUUCGGCCGGGAAGAAAUCGCACGGGCUAAUACCCUGUGUGGAUGACGGUACCGGAAUAAGAAGCACCGGCUAACUACGUGCCAGCAGCCGCGGUAACAC
rnacentral:rRNA from 1 species